rnacentral:rRNA from 1 species
CGGGCUUAGGCUGUCGCAGGAUGGGAUGAGCCUGCGUUGGAUUAGCUAGUUGGUGAGGUAAUGGCCUACCAAGGCUACGAUCCAUAGCUGAUUUGAGAGAAUGAUCAGCCACAUUGGGACCUGAGACACGGCCCAAACUCCUACGGGAGGCAGCAGUGAGGAAUAUUGGACAAUGGGGAAACCCUGAUCCCAGCAAUGCCAUGUGUGUGAAGAAGGCCUUAGGGUUGUAAAGCACUUUAGUUGGGGAAGAAAGCUUUAAGGUUAAUAACCUUGAGGAAGGACGUUACCCAAAGAAUAAGCACCGGCUAACUCCGUG